rnacentral:rRNA from 1 species
UACGUAGGGUGCGAGCGUUGUCCGGAAUUAUUGGGCGUAAAGAGCUCGUAGGCGGUGUGUCGCGUCGGCCGUGAAAACCUGCAGCUUAACUGUGGGCUUGCGGUCGAUACGGGCAUCACUGGAGUUCGGCAGGGGAGACUGGAAUUCCUGGUGUAGCGGUGAAAUGCGCAGAUAUCAGGAGGAACACCGGUGGCGAAGGCGGGUCUCUGGGCCGAUACUGACGCUGAGGAGCGAAAGCGUGGGGAGCGAACCGG